rnacentral:sRNA from 2 species
ACCUACCACUGCCAAUCUACCUACCGCUGCCAACCUAUCUAUCACUGCUAAUCUAUCGCUGCUAAUCUAUCGCUGCUAAUCUAUCGCUGCUAAUCUAUCGCUGCUAAUCUAUCGCUGCUAAUCUAUCGCUGCUAAUCUAUCGCUGCCAACCUACCUACCGCUGCCAACCUACCUACCGCUGCCAACCUAUCUAUCACUGCUAAUCUAUCGCUGCUAAUCUAUCGCUGCUAAUCUAUCGCUGCUAAUCUAUCGCUGCUAAUCUAUCGCUGCUAAUCUAUCGCUGCUAAUCUAUCGCUGCUAAUCUAUCGCUGCUAAUCUAUCGCUGCUAAUCUAUCGCUGCCAACCUACCUACCGCUGCCAACCUACCUACCGCUGCCAACCUAUCUAUCGCUGCCAACCUAUAUAGGGUAAAUCAUGGUCCCAUUUGGUCCCAUUUUGUAAAAUGGGACCAAAUGGGACUGGGACCACUAAUUUAUUAGUAAAACAUGAUCUGGGACUAGAUUUAUAAUAUAAACAGUGUAAAGUGACUAAUUUGCUAAACACUAUAUGAGACCAGGACUAAGAUAUCUAAUAAUGGAACUGAGGAAAAAUUUGGUCCCAGUCCCAUGCAUGGUCACAUGGCCAGUCUAUAAUCUACUUAGUCUGAAAAUAAAAGAUGAAAGUCAAACUUGAAGAAGAUGAGUCUGUAAUAGACUCUCUGCUCUUGUAAGCUCACUAUAUUUAUAGUUGACUAGAAGAAAAUGCUCUAGCCAAGUUUCAAUCUUGAAUUGAGUUGUGUAUAUAUGAGAUGU